rnacentral:lncRNA from 7 species
AAGACUGUUGCCAGUAAGAGGACAGAAGUGCAUGUACUGAUAUACAUAAAUGGAAGAAGAGAGAGUUCCAGGUGUGGAGAAUCCCGUAGCAACUGUUCAAACCAAGGCUCUGAAGACUGAAGUGGAGCAGGGUUCCAUGUGAACAGCAGCUGAGCAUGGGUCAGUUGUCCUCUUUCUGCUCCUCAGAGAGAAGGCUGAAGAGGUGAAUUUGGUACAGCGGUUGAUGGUCCUUCUGCUCCACAAAGGCCACCAGAGCUCCCUGGAAGGAUGUCUGUUCCUGAUGUUGAGCCUACUGUGGGCCUCUCUGAUCAGUAGUGAGCAGAGAACCUUCUCCCCUUCCACAACAAAGGAUAGGGUGGUUAACAUUAGUCCCAAAGACCACCUUCUUUCACUGAGACACCUGUCAUGACCUCUGCAGUGACGGGACCUCCAUUGCCUGUUCACUAUGGACCACCAUGAGCUCCUUUCCAUGGACACUAUGGCACUUAACCUCUUCCUGUGCCUCUAGUUUGUGGUCCUCCCUUACCACCACCGGCUGCAAGAGAUUGCCUCCCUGGUUCACACUUAGGAAUGAAAGAUUUGCCUCCUGGCCCACCGCCACCUCCUCCAAACCCAAGAAGCUACAGACACAGGCCCCCUCAUUUCCAGCCUCUAGGUCCUCCUAGCCCACAUGAUUAUCUGCCAGGUCCACCACCACGCCCACCUGCCUCCAGGGACGGUAUACCUUCUCAGAACGGAGACUUACCUCCAGCAAGACCUAGAGACUGCCCUGCAGGCCCCCCACUACCACCAGCAGGCUCAAAGGACUGCACACAGCCUCCUGUGCAGAAGCCCUAGCUGCAAUUUCUGGUCAGCGGCUCAAUGAAAUGGACCCUAGUGCAUCUCCUGUGCAUAGAGAAUUUUAGGAAAAGGUUCUCUGUUUGAAGCCAUUUGUCUCAUUUCAGUAUGUUUCAGCUUUGUCAGGGUUAAUUUUUCUCCACUUGCUGUAGACGUCUUACGUGCCUUUAUGAUCACCUUAAAUUCAUCCAUCCU